CCUACGGGUGGCAGCAGUGAGGAAUAUUGGUCAAUGGGCGCGAGCCUGAACCAGCCAAGUAGCGUGAAGGAUGACUGCCCUACGGGUUGUAAACUUCUUUUAUCAAGGAAUAAAGUGAGGCACGUGUGCCUUUUUGUGUGUACUUUAUGAAUAAGGAUCGGCUAACUCCGUGCCAGCAGCCGCGGUAAUACGGAGGAUCCGAGCGUUAUCCGGAUUUAUUGGGUUUAAAGGGUGCGUAGGUGGGUUGUUAAGUCAGUUGGGAAAGUUUGAGGCUCAACCGUGACAUUGCAAUUGAUACUGGCAGUCUUGAGUACAGUUGAGGUAGGCGGAAUGCGUGGUGUAGCGGUGAAAUGCUUAGAUAUCACGAAGAACUCCGAGUGCGAAGGCAGCUUACUAAACUGCCACUGACAUUGAUGCUCGAAAGUGUGGGUAUCAAACAGGAUUAGAUACCCUAGUAGUC
rnacentral:rRNA from 1 species